rnacentral:rRNA from 1 species
GACAGAGGUGGCGAGCGUUGUUCGGAAUUACUGGGCUUAAAGGGCGCGUAGGCGGUGGAGUAAGUCUGAGGUGGAAUCCUAUGGCUUAACCAUAGAACUGCCUUAGAAACUGUUUUACUUGAGUCAGUGAGGGGAGGGCGGAAUUCCUGGUGUAGCGGUGAAAUGCGUAGAUAUCAGGAGGAAGGCCUGUGGCGAAGGCGGCCCUCUGGCACUGAACUGACGCUGAGGCGCGAAAGCGUGGGUAGCAAACAGG